rnacentral:lncRNA from 1 species
UUUUAUGAUAUUAGCUGAUAUCUUAUUGGAUGUUGUAAUAGUUUAUUAGAAUUAAUUAAGAUAUUGGAGGAUGCUAAAACGUCGGGAGUAUAUGUUGGGAUUGCUGACCUUUAGGAUGAUGGCCAACAUUCUCCGCAGUCAUUCUAAUCCAUUUAUAAGGAUGAUCAUAGAGUGCAGUUAGCAAAGCUAAAUGAAUCAAAGGAUAUUAAUAUAUACCAGUGGGGGCUCCUCACCAUGGUUGCAGGUGGGACUUGGUUCAACAACUGAUGUUGGAGCUGAACCAUAAUUUCAUGUCAAGGAAAGUGAGAUUUUCUCAGCUUUCUCUAUUUCUUUUAUCUCAAAGAUUUUUUUAUACGUACAAAGAAAAACUGUAAUUAUAUAACAAAACAGUUCAUAUAGUUCAAGAUUCUUUUUAAAAUUUAAAUUUUCCUUUUGAAUUGUUAAAUGUACAUUAUAGUGGGUCAAUUUAAUUUAGCCCCAAUCUCAUUUCAUGCAUAUGCAUGGCGUUUAUACCUCUAAUAAAACAUUGUAAUUUUCUAAAUAGUUUUUCUUGUUGAAAAAUUAAUUGAUAAAGAAAAAAGCUCCAAAACUACUGUCAUGUUAUGUAGGAAGAAUUCAUUAGUGUCACCACCACACACACAAACUUUGUGAAAUUAGGAAUCUUGGGUUCGUAAGGAGACAUCUAUGUAAUCUGCUUUAGAAUUCCCAAAAAAAAAAAAAAAAAACUUGGGACUUUAAGAACAGAAACCAUACCUUAUGAAGAGAUUCAAAUGUCUAAAGCCAACUAAUUGGGUUAAGAAUGUCAUUUGGCCUAAUUCGAAUAGAAACGAGCAACAAACUAAUGAAUUAAAAUUGGCCGAAGGUUAGUAAAAUCCAUGUUACCGUUCCAAGGUUUGAAAAUAACCUAGGCCAGAUGAGGUUUGCUUGGCCGCAUGAUUGAUUUGUUUAGUAGUCAGAAACGCCCUUCUUAGCCCUAAAAGGGUAACACACAAUACGAAACCAAUAAUAUAUCAUGUUAUGCUUUUGAAGAUCAUUGAGUGUAGUCUGAUGCCUUACAUCCAGAGUAGUCUGAUGCCUCAACAGAGAAGGAAGAAUUAUAACAUAGGAAUAAACUUUUGUUCCAUAAAUUCUUUACCUCCGAAAUACCCCCAUUCCCAUUACUAAAUUGCACCUCCAAAACCCUAAACCGAGUUCUUCGAAAAAACAUGAACCUACCAAUAAGGUUCAUGCUGAUUCCACCAGGUACUGCUUUUCAAGAAGAGCAUGGUAUGCUGCUUGGAACAACAAGUUUCAUCUUUGCUUUCUUAGGUUCUUCCAUCUCACAAACAAAGACAUGGCCAGAAGCGUUCACUGCAUAAAAUUGUCCGUUAUGAUAAGUUAAAUCAGAAUAAAUAUGAUAUGGUUUUCCAAAUGCAUCAUCCACUAUGGUCCAUUCGUGGUCUCCUGGUCUCCAAAACGCAAAUUUGCCCCAACUAUGAAUCAUGACAAUGUAAUCUGAUGUGAAAGAAGCGCUUGAUGAUAAGGUGAAUUUCCUUACAACGAAUUUGCCCAACACUAAUGCUAUAUUUCUUAGUAGAUCUAGAUGAGGAGGAUGAGAUUAUUUAAAUAUCUCAAGAUCCGGAAGCUCAACAUGGGCAUGAUUUAAAGGAUGCAAUAUAUUGAAUUUCAAAUCGUUAUCAGACUGAGUCUUUAGCCAUCCUAGGGAAGAAUAACACAGCUUUUCCUUAGCUAAUGGUGGCAGAUUAAGUUUGUGAAUCUUGCCUUUUUUCAGGUUGUAGAACUCUCGGAUGGUGGCGCUCUCCCUUUUUGGAAGCAUAAGCAAUGGAACUUGAUGUGAUGUUCUAGUAAAGUUUUCCUUGAUUGCGUCUGAUUUCCAUGAUCUACAAACUGUACCAAAAACAGUAAAAUCCUCCAAGACAAACAGAAGUUUGGCAAUGGACACAAGAAGAUGGUGAGGAAGAUUCGACCAUUGAGCCAUCAAGAUAAUAAUCAACUCAAAUAUCAAAUAGGUUUUGUGGGGGAAGAGCGUGCCCGAAAUUAGAAUAAUAGAAAUAAUUAAUUUCUAAAAGAGGACACAAAAAUCUGAGAGGGCAAAGGGCAAAGACUGAAACCAAAUAAAUAGUGUAUUUAUUUGUAAAUCCCAAUCCGAGAGGACAAAAUAAAAAUUGCAUGACAACAAUUGACAAAAAUAAAAAUUUAAGAGCCCGUGAUAACCAUUUCAAUUUUAAUUUUUAGUAUUUAUUUUUGUGCUAGGGUAUAGAGGGAAAUGAGAGUGAGACUGAGAGUGAGGAUGAGAUUGAGAGAGAGGAUGAUAAGGGAGGACGGGAGAGAUGAGUAACAAAAGUGAAAACUUGAAAGUAAAAACAAUUUCAAAUAAAUUUUUUGUUUUUUGCUUUUGUUUUCACUUUUAUUACUCUUCCCUCCCAUCAUUCCCUCUCAUCUUCUAUCUCAAUCUCAUCUUCACUCUCAUUCUCACUUCAGUUGUCUCCAUUUGUCCUCUAUACUCUAGCACAAAAAAUAAAAAAUAAAACAAAAAACUAAAAUUGAAACAGUUAUCAAACGGACCCUUAGGAUAUAACUAUAACUCAAGAAUAAAAAUACAAAGUAAAGCAAACCUUACAAAUGGAACCUCCAAGAGAAAAUAGUCAAAACAAUUUAUAUGCACACAAAUAUAUGAAAUAAAAUAAAAAGAACAAAAAUUAUAGACAUUACCAAGAUUACAUAUACAACACAUGGAAAAAUAUAAAAAAAUACAAGUGAGGCUAAUUCCUUUACUAAGUUCUUCAAUUUGUGGGGCUAUUUCCUUUUUUCUUUGAGUGCAAAAGUCUUCUAUAGCAUCAAUAAGAUUAUAUUUAAUAGAAGUGAAAAAGGAAAAAUAAAAUACAAGUUGGGCUCAUACUAGGUCUGCCAGUGCUUAUGGGUCAAAGUAAAAUGCUUUAUACUUCAAGGGGUCGUUUAGUACGGCGGACUGUCAUAGACUAAACUAAAUCCUGAGACUAUCUUGGAUUAGCUCGAAUUGGCCUAAGCUGGAUUAAGUACUGACCUACGUUUGAUGCUGCAUCGGACUAAGAAACUGGAUUGUAAAAAUAGUGAAGACCUAUGUUUGGUGCUGUGUCGGACUAAAAAAUAAUUAUUGUAAUAAUUAGAUUUAAAACAAUAAUAAAAUAAAUAAAUAAAAAAAACUAAAAUUCUGAUAUUUUUAAAGGCUAAAAUUAUGUUAAACAAAAAAUAAAAAAACAAUAGAUUCAGACCCAACCCAACCUCCUCAUUUAGUUUAUCUUUUUUUUUUUCUCUCUAUUUUCUUUUUCUUUAAUCAGAAACCCAACCUCCCCAUUCUUUUUAUCUUUUUUUUUUCUUUAACAAGAAACCUCCCUCACUCUCACUCUCUCUCUUUGCCCGCCCCCGCCCCCCCCCCCCCCCUCUUUUUUUUUCUUUCUCUCUAUUUGUUAUCUUUAUUCAACAACCUCACUCAUUCUGUCUUUCUCCCAUCACAACUCACUUUUGGAAAAACCUAAAGGAGAGAGAAAUUUUUGCAAAGAAGCCAAAAUGGACAAAAUUGCCCUUAUUUAUUUUUGAAUUUCCUAAGGAAUCCUUUACAUUUGCAUGUCUUUGAUUGAAAGUUGAGAGGUUUUUCUGUCUUUUUUGAAAAAGCUUUGGCUUUUUCCAAAAGUGAAAAAAAAUUUGUGGCUAAAACCUAAAUUUACUUUUUCUCUCUCUCUCUCUCUCUUUAAUCAUAAACCUCCCUGAUUCUCUCUCUCAUUCCCAUCGGAACCCACCUCCACAUCCCCUUUUUCCCCAAUUCUUCUUCUCCCCCUUUGACUCCUUUGUAUUCAAUUGAGAAAGCCUUAGGCAAAGGCUUCAGCAAAUGCAUUUUCCACACACGUCCUCUUCGAUCUUGUCCAGCCAAGAUUUGGGUUUGUUUGGUUGUAGAAAUUAGGUAAACUCAUGGUGGUGGUCUGACAGGUUGAUUGUGGUAGGGGGGUUUUGAUUCAAGCCAAGGAUCUGACUUCAGUGAAUAUGGUUGAUUGAAAACACAAAUCAAGAAAAUCCAAUUCUAGCUUAAGAAGAAGAAGAAACGGGUUUAGUUCGGACUUGUGGGUUCAAUCUAGCGAGGGCACUAUAUUGCGAACUACUUUUUAACCUCGCUAAAUUAGAGGAGCGAACGAGGGGUUUUGUUUACUGUUGGACAAUAUAGUCUCAUUUAAGUUAGUCCCUUAUCUUACCAAACAUGGGUUUCAAGUGCUAUUUAAGUUAGUCCAGUCCAGUGAGGCUUGCCAAACACAGCCCAAAGGCAUUGUGACAAUUCUAAAUCCAAUGUAUCACAACACUUAUGUGAUUGUCGUUUAAUGCAAAACUCAUUUUCUUCGUUAAAUACAUAAAAUGUUUUUUUUUUUUUUUAAUGUCAAAGACAUACGAUGUACAUUGAGCAUUGGUAUAAACAUGACAAGUACUAUACUACUAGCUCUCCUGCUUUCAUGUUUAUAUUAGCUAAUAUCUUAUAGGAUAUUGUAUUAGUUUAUUAGAAUUAAUUAAGAUAUUGGAGGAUGCUAAAACGUUGGGAGUAUAUGUUGGGAUUGCUGACCUUAAGGAUGAUAGCCAACAUUCUCCGUAAUCGUUCUAAUCCAUUUAUAAGGAUGAUUAUGGAGAUGGCAUUUGUAAGUUAUUCUAGAUUGUGCGCGG